CAGUCAGCUGCUGACUUCUUUGUCAACGGCAGAUUGGCGACUGCCCUGGACCAGUUUGCUGAUGGGUUAAAAACCCUUGGAUUACUCAAAGAGAUGAGGGAGAAUCCGGCCGUGUUCUUCAACUUCUUUGUCAAUGAGGAAAUUCCCCUUCAGGCGAAGGACCUGUGCAAGUUAUUUGUUCCAGACUUCUCAGCGCAGGGCAGCAACCGGAGAAACCGAGAAAAUAUGACAAUCUGCUUCUGGCGUGACUGGUUGAUUGACAUAGAAGAAGGAGAAUGCAGUCCAGUCACCCUUGAGAGGGUUUUGGAAUUUUCGUCUGGAGCCUCUGUAGUCCCUCCACUGGGAUUUCCACACCCUCCUCAAAUACAGUUCAUUCAUGAAGAGAACCGAAUCUUCCCUGAAGCAAACACGUGUAUUGUUACACUAUGCCUGCCGCUGCACUCUUCUUAUGAAUGGUUUAAAAAACAUAUGAUGGAGGGAAUUUUGCAAGCGCCGACCUUUGGUCUUGCAUAAUGUUACCGUGUUUGUUUUUAAAAUUGUUCAGUGCAGGUUGUUAGAGGGCAUGCCUCUAUUGUUCCCAAUUGUUUUCUACAUUCUAGUUUUACAAGUGCUCUUUAACUUGGCACUUGUUGUUCUAAUCACAACCCCAUCACCAGAUUUGUGCCCACCCUCUGCCACUCUGCCAAUGCUGGGCCCACGACACAGGCCACAAUGCCUGUUAGUUGGGCAUCAACCACAGCUGCCAUCAAGUGCCAAGUGCACUUGCACCUUCACUUUUAAUGAUGUGGUACUCUGUUAAUGUUAUGUCCAAUUUCAUGCACUUUUAAAUAUUUUCUAUGUCCAAAUCUUACAAGUGCUCCUUGCCUCUGUGGCACUUGUUGUUCUCUUUACUGUGGUCAUCCCCACUUGCUGCACUCUCAAUAAAGUGGUCAGUGCUACAAUGA